rnacentral:lncRNA from 10 species
AAUUUUUUUUUGUAUUUUUAGUAGAGACAGGGUUUCACCAUGUUGGCCAGGAUGGUCUCAAUCUCUUGACCCCCUCCACCUGCCUCGGCCUCCCAGAGUGCUGGUAUUACAGGCAUGAGCCACUGCGCCUGGCCUCUAACUUUAUAUCCUAAAUUAUGACCAGUUUUUCUGCAAGUACUUAUCCUAUUACAUUUACGUAAUUAUUUUAAUUGUUUUACCCUGAUUAUUUAUGAAAACUGUGAUAGUCGUGAUUUAAAGUUAUGAAACUGCCAUUGAAAAUUAUGACUGAGACAGUGAAAAAUUGUCUGUGCAUACUGCCUAAAGCCACAAGAUUCGAAGUUACGGUAAUAUUACUAAAUUCAAGAUGCAGCUAUUUUCAUUAAGCCCAUAUCAAUGUCUUAUUUAUUAAAAAUUACACAAGCAAAGAAUCGUUCUGUUUUGGGCUGGGCUUAU